UACGUAGGUGGCGAGCGUUGUCCGGAUUUACUGGGCGUAAAGGGCGUGCAGGCGGUUUGUUAAGUGCAGAGUGAAAGCUCCCGGCUCAACUGGGAGAGGUCUUUGCAUACUGGCAAACUCGAGGGAGGCAGAGGAAAGUGGAAUUCCCGGUGUAGUGGUGAAAUGCGUAGAUAUCGUGAGGAAGACCAGUGGCGAAGGCGGAUCUCUGGACAGUUCCUGACGCUGAGGCGCGAAGGCCAGGGGAGCAAACGGG
rnacentral:rRNA from 1 species